GUCUUUGUAGUAUACUAAUUACCUUGGUCUUGUAAACCAAAAAUGGAGACCACCACAACCCUCCCUAAGACU
rnacentral:tRNA from 1 species